rnacentral:piRNA from 1 species
UCCAUUCACAUCUCUAACUCUACAGAAAU